rnacentral:misc_RNA from 1 species
GGGAGAGGGGGGGAUAAGCUUAUACAUGCCUGCCUCAAAUUCACGAUCCCAAUACAAACUUUAUAAAUCACAGUGAUUAAACGAUGAAUUCAUCAGCUCAAAUAAUUCGCACCAAUAUUGAAAAAUGAAGACCCUAAAAACUGAAAGCCAAGAAUCUCAACCAAGGUAAAAGCAAACAUAAUUUCACCCAAGAACUUAAUUCCUAAUUACCACCACAAACACAAAACCUUAGAUCCAGAAAAGGGUACUUCCAUAUCCGCCAAAUGCAGCGAUCAAACACCCGAUGCCUAAAUAAAUUUACCAAUCAAAACUAGGGUUUCCCCUCAUCCAACACCACAAAACAACCUACUCUAGCGAACACAAAAUUCGAAUAUCAAACUAUAAAUUAAAGCAAAAUGAAAAGAUCCCAGUGCACAAGAAACUCACCCGUCAAGAAACGCGGCGAGAAA